rnacentral:rRNA from 1 species
AUUGAACGCUGGCGGCAGGCCUAACACAUGCAAGUCGAGCGGAUGAAGGGUGAUUGCUCCUGGAUUCAGCGGCGGACGGGCGAGUAAUGCCUAGGAAUAUGCCUGGCAGCGGGGGAUAACGUCCGGACACGGGCGCUAAUACCGUAUACGUCCUGAGGGAGAAAGUGGGGGAUCAUCGGAUCUCACGCCAUUAGAUGGGCCUAGGUCGGAUUAGCUAGUUGGUGGGGUAAAGGCCUACCAAGGCGACGAUCCGUAACUGGUCUGAGAGGAUGAUCAGUCACACUGGAACUGAGACACGGUCCAGACUCCUACGGGAGGCAGCAGUGGGGAAUAUUGGACAAUGGGCGAAAGCCUGAUCCAGCCAUGCCGCGUGUGUGAAGAAGGUCUUCGGAUUGUAAAGCACUUUAAGUUGGGAAGAAAAGCAGUAAGUUAAUACCUUGCUGUUUUGACGUUACCAACAGAAUAAGCACCGGCUAACUUCGUG